rnacentral:lncRNA from 1 species
GGACAUUUGGCCAGGGAGUCAGUGACCAGAAGAGGAAGGGCAGCUCCCUGGAAGUGGGCUGCACGGCCCCAUUUCCCCUGUGCUGCAGGCAGGGGCAAGGCCAGGGGCCUUUUAGUUGGAGCUUGGGGGCACCCAGGAGGCAGCUCCGCCUUGACCGCCCCGUGGCAGGAUUUGUCCUGCUUCCCGAAAGGCCAGGCCACAGGUACUGCCUGGAAAAUUCUUUAUGGGCUGCUGCCUUCCAGGUGGCUCACUGGGAGUGGCUCCUGAAGCAGGUGCUGGGCAAGUCCCAACCAGAUCCCUCCCUGCCACCAAAGCAGCGGGGCAGGCCAGGCUGGCAUGGUGUGGAACGGGGGAAGGGAGUGAACAGCCGAGCAAUUGACUGAGCUGUCCUGGGCCCCUAGCCUGACUGUCUGGGCUGCCCUUUGGGCUCCAGGUCCUCUCCACUUGCGGGUGCAAAGGCUUUGUGCCCCACUAUGGAGUCAGAUAACUUAGGGAGCACAGUAUUGUACUUGCAAUGUCCUUCAUCUAGAAAUCCCAGGUUGGUACUGCUGAGUCUGUGUGAGUUCAUGGUUUUGUGGACCCCUAAGCCUCAAGCAAAGUGAAUCCCUGAGCUCUCCCCAGUGGUUGACCACAGGUGGGAGGAGAUGAGGCCCAGAAGGGCCCACGUAGAGCCUGGUGCUGGUCAGCAGAAGGGGCAGGGAAGCUGCCCCCGGCACAGCACACCUGCUCCCUCUGGCUGCAUCCAAUGGGAUGUGGACAGAGGCCACAGACCUCUCUCCCAAGCCGCAUGGCCUUCUCAUUCUCCAGGCGUGGCCCAGCCCGUGUUGGCUUUGGAAAGGAGGCUGUGAUAGACAGUCCUUAGAAUGUGGACACUGCUGGGUUCCCAGACUGGCUGCAGAUCUGGCUUUGGCGGAGUCUUGCUGCCUAGGUCCAAGUGGAUCCAGGAACCGGGCCUGGGAGCAACCUGCAGCACGGAAGUGGCUCUGUCAGCUCCAGGCUUCCUGGGGGCAUGUUCGGGGACUCAGGCAGCCAGGAGCAGGGCCACAGCUCCCUGGGUUGCACAUCACUCUUUGGAAAGCCCAUGUCCUUUGUGCACUGGGAGCUGAGCGCCGGUGGGAAAGACUUAGGCAGAGAGGAGCAUGCGGGUGUGCGCGAGCCAGGGCCCAGCUUCGGAGGAACACUGGUGGGCUCCUGACUUCAGCUGGCACGUAACUGUUGGCUCCUGAGGAGGAGGAGCCCGGGGCUGGCUGGGUUCCUCCCCUCGAAAGUCACUGGCCAGGUGCUCUGGGCAGACACAGCCGCAGCUUGCUGCCCUCCAGAUGCAGACCUGGAAGGGACUCUGGUCACC